rnacentral:rRNA from 1 species
GACGAACGCUGGCGGCGUGCUUAACACAUGCAAGUCGAACGAAGAGCGACGGAAGCUUGCUUCUAUCAAUCUUAGUGGCGAACGGGUGAGUAACGCGUAAUCAACCUGCCCUUCAGAGGGGGACAACAGUUGGAAACGACUGCUAAUACCGCAUACGAUCUAAUCUCGGCAUCGAGGAUGGAUGAAAGGUGGCCUCUACAUGUAAGCUAUCACUAAAGGAGGGGAUUGCGUCUGAUUAGCUAGUUGGAGGGGUAACGGCCCACCAAGGCGAUGAUCAGUAGCCGGUCUGAGAGGAUGAACGGCCACAUUGGGACUGAGACACGGCCCAGACUCCUACGGGAGGCAGCAGUGGGGAAUCUUCCGCAAUGGACGAAAGUCUGACGGAGCAACGCCGCGUGAGUGAUGACGGCCUUCGGGUUGUAAAGCUCUGUUAAUCGGGACGAAAGGCCUUCUUGCGAAUAGUGAGAAGGAUUGACGGUACCGGAAUAGAAAGCCACGGCUAACUACGUG